CGGUGGUGAUUGCGACAAGGUCACACCCGUUCCCAUCCCGAACACGACCUAUCAGAUACAAAGAAGUAAGCUUGUCUGCGCCGAUGGUACUGCACGGGCAGCAGAGCGUGCGAGCAGGUCGCCGCCGGAUU
rnacentral:rRNA from 1 species